rnacentral:rRNA from 1 species
UACGGAGGGGACUAGCGUUGUUCGGAAUUACUGGGCGUAAAGCGCACGUAGGCGGAUUGGAAAGUUGGGGGUGAAAUCCCGGGGCUCAACCUCGGAACUGCCUUCAAAACUUCCAGUCUAGAGAUCGAGAGAGGUGAGUGGAAUUCCGAGUGUAGAGGUGAAAUUCGUAGAUAUUCGGAGGAACACCAGUGGCGAAGGCGGCUCACUGGCUCGAUACUGACGCUGAGGUGCGAAAGCGUGGGGAGCAAAC